rnacentral:lncRNA from 1 species
AUGUGGCAGCUCGGCCCUCAGGGUCCCCCAGGUCCCCCCGGCCCUCCCGGCCCCCCUGGACCCCAGGGUGUUAAUGGGAUCCAAGGCCCUCAGGACUAUGUUGGACCGCGGCAGCCACUUCAGGAUUCCACAGACAUAGAUGAGGGAUGUGAAGGGGGCUGCUCCAAGGGGUUGCCAGGGGUACCAGGCAUGGCUGGGGCCAAGGGUGAGAAAGGAGACCAAGGCAAGCCUGGUGCAACCCUUUUGGACAGCUGUGACAGGUGUUUAGAGAGGCUGCAAAAGGAACCAGCCACGCAAGCAGUGGGAGAUCGGUCCUACACAGGAACACCUGGACAUCCGGGGGUGCCCGGAUCACCUGGAAUCAAAGGCGAUCCUGGUGCACCAGGAGAAAGAGGUCCAGCUGGAACUCCAGGAUUCAUGGUGUGUGAGAAAGAGAAACCUCAAGUAGAAAUCAGACGUUGUUUUGUUUGUGGACUUCCUCUCUUCCAUUCAGGGUCAAAGUUCAGCCUCGAACACCCUCGGUAA